UAGGGAAUCUUCGGCAAUGGACGGAAGUCUGACCGAGCAACGCCGCGUGAGUGAAGAAGGCUUUCGGAUCGUAAAGCUCUGUUGUUAGAGAAGAACGUUGGCAGGAGUGGAAAAUCUACCAAGUGACGGUAACUAACCAGAAAGGGACGGCUAACUACGUGCCAGCAGCCGCGGUAAUACGUAGGUCCCGAGCGUUGUCCGGAUUUAUUGGGCGUAAAGCGAGCGCAGGCGGUUCUUUAAGUCUGAAGUUAAAGGCAGUGGCUUAACCAUUGUACGCUUUGGAAACGUGUGGACUUGAGUGCAGAAGGGGAGAGUGGAAUUCCAUGUGUAGCGGUGAAAUGCGUAGAUAUAUGGAGGAACACCGGUGGCGAAAGCGGCUCUCUGGUCUGUAGCUGACGCUGAGGCUCGAAAGCGUGGGGAGCAAACAGG
rnacentral:rRNA from 1 species